CCUACGGGAGGCAGCAGUGGGGAAUUUUGGACAAUGGGCGCAAGCCUGAUCCAGCAAUGCCGCGUGAGUGAAGAAGGCCUUCGGGUUGUAAAGCUCUUUUGUCAGGGAAGAAACGGUGGGAGCUAAUAUCUUCCACUAAUGACGGUACCUGAAGAAUAAGCACCGGCUAACUACGUGCCAGCAGCCGCGGUAAUACGUAGGGUGCAAGCGUUAAUCGGAAUUACUGGGCGUAAAGCGUGCGCAGGCGGUUUUGUAAGUCUGUCGUGAAAGCCCCGGGCUCAACCUGGGAAUUGCGAUGGAGACUGCAAGGCUUGAAUCUGGCAGAGGGGGGUAGAAUUCCACGUGUAGCAGUGAAAUGCGUAGAGAUGUGGAGGAACACCGAUGGCGAAGGCAGCCCCCUGGGUCAAGAUUGACGCUCAUGCACGAAAGCGUGGGGAGCAAACAGGAUUAGAUACCCUGGUAGUCCACGCCCUAAACGAUGUCUACUAGUUGUCGGGUUUUAAUAACCUUGGUAACGCAGCUAACGCGUGAAGUGACCGCCUGGGGAUACGGUGCAAGNUUAAAACNCAAAUGAGUGAGNGNGAGAGAGCGACGACGACGACGAGGAGGAGG
rnacentral:rRNA from 1 species